GUGGGAGAAGUCGCCGCCCGCGUCUGUCCAAACUUAGUCCCAAACUCAGGAGGUUCCUGUCCCAAGAAGCAAUGUAAAGUUUGAACCGCGCCCUGCCUAUAUUAGGUUUUUAAAUAGCAGGAGGCAAAGCUUUUCGGUGUGAUCCUGACUUCACUUGGGGAAAAAGGACACAGGGUCUCACUGUGUUGGCCAGGCUGGAGUGCGGCAGUCUGGAACUCCUGGGCCCAAGUGAUCCUCCAAUCAGCCUCACAAAGCACUGGAAUUACAGGUAGCUCAGAGAGCUGCGCUGGAGGAGAAAAGCCAGUCCUGGCAGGAGCUCUGGUACCUGGGAAGCUGGAUGGAGAGCCUGGGCCAGAAUCCCGGACCCCUCACCUCUGCGGCCUAGCUUUGUGACCUUGGCAAAUCCAUUCUAUGCACCUCCAUUUCCUGUACAGUGGGGAUCCUUAUUUCUCUGGCACAGAUUGGUAUUUGUUCUGUAAAGCCCAGUACCACUU
rnacentral:lncRNA from 1 species